GAGUUUGAUCCUGGCUCAGGACGAACGCUGGCGGCGUGCCUAACACAUGCAAGUCAGGGAGAAAGGGAUAGCAAUAUCCCGAGUAAACCGGCGCACGGGUGAGUAACGCGUAGGUAAUUUGCCCUGGAGACUGGGAUAACCUUGCGAAAGCGAGGCUAAUACCGGAUAGGCAAUCUUGGGGCAUCCCAAGAUUGUUAAAGGAUUGGCAACAAUCCGCUCCAGGAUAAGCCUGCGUCCGAUUAGCUAGUUGGUAGGGUAAUGGCCUACCAAGGCAACGAUCGGUAGCUGGUCUGAGAGGAUGAUCAGCCACACUGGGACUGAGACACGGCCCAGACUCCUACGGGAGGCAGCAGUGAGGAAUAUUGGGCAAUGCCCGAAAGGGUGACCCAGCAACGCCGCGUGGAGGAUGAAGUCCUUCUGGGCGUAAACUCCUUUUAGAGGGGACGAAAAGCCCGAUUUGUCGGGAAUUGACGGUACCCUCAGAAAAAGCACCGGCUAACUACGUGCCAGCAGCCGCGGUAAUACGUAGGGUGCAAGCGUUGUCCGGAUUCACUGGGUGUAAAGG
rnacentral:rRNA from 1 species